rnacentral:lncRNA from 1 species
AAUCAACAACACAUCACACUAGAUAUAGUGAAGAGACCAUACUUUUUUGGCUAACAAUUCAGAAAUUAUUUAAAGGAAAGGAUAUCAAUUUUUUCCGCGGCUACACAGACCAAGGACUCAUCAGUGAACAAUCUAUAAAGCUAGAAGAAUGUUAGAUAAAUUUUGCCGUACCGUCAGAUCCCGUUUUAUCCCGGGAAUAUUUUUUAAAAAUUUAACGGAAAAUCCGUGACACUCUGGUUUGCUUUUUUCUCUUGUUUAGUUUGAAGCAUAUCGUUAUUGUAUAAAUCUUUAUAA